GGAGCCCGAAACGCGGCCGCCGCCGCCCCCUUGCGGGGCGGGGGAGGAAAGUCCGGGCUCCACAGAGCAGGAUGCUGGCUAACGGCCAGUGGGGGCAACCCCAAGGAAAGUGCCACAGAAAACAUACCGCCGAUGGCCCGUCCGGCUUGCCGGGCGCGCACAGGCAAGGGUGAAAAGGUGGGGGCGCAAGCCUUAAUGUAAGAGCCCACCGCGGCCGUGGCGACACGGCCGGCAGGGUAAACCCCAUCCGGAGCAAGUCCAAGCAUGGUGGCCACGGGAUCGCUCGUCCCGCCACCGGGUAGGACGCUGGAGGAUGCCGGCAACGGCAUUCCUAGAGUGAUGGUCGCGACGCCCUUCGCGGGCGCACAGAACCCGGCUUAUUGAAGGCUCCGGCG
rnacentral:RNase_P_RNA from 1 species